rnacentral:snRNA from 1 species
GUGCUCACUUUGGCAGCACAUAUAUUAAAUUUGGAACAAUACAGAGAAGAUUAGCAUGGCCCCUGCGAAAGAACGACACGCAAAUUCAUGAAGAGGCACAUGGUUUU